rnacentral:rRNA from 1 species
UCGCUCCUACCGAUUUCGAGUGGUCCGGUGAACCCUUUGGACUGGAAGCGUCUUGAACGCUGCUAGAAAGUCGAGUAAACCACAUCAUUUAGAGGAAGGUG